CGAUGUGGGGCCGGCGGGCAGCGCGCGCGCUCGGGGACCGCCAAGCCUCGCGAGACGAGGGCCGUCAGGGGCUGGGCCAACUGUCGCCAGUGGUUGCGGGGUCGCGGCCGGGCGUCAUCGUGGGCGCCGUUCGGUGGGUCGUGGAGGCCGACUUUCCGGUCGGCUUGCGUAUUUCCCUUAGAGAGCGAAGGCGCGUCAGAUGCCCGGCAAGCGGAGUGGUGACAAUGAGGACCCACAGAAGGUUAAACGGCCUCGCGGGCGGCCUCCCGGCCCCAAAGCCGGGCUGUCGGCUGCGGCGAGGGCGGCGGUGGUGGAGGCCGCCGCGGCUUGGGCAGCGGCCGAGGCCACCCCAGGCGGCGCGGAGGCCAUGGGCAUCCUGCUCCCGGGCCAGACCGGAAUCAAGAGGAGGCGGAGGGUCAUGCCUCUGGAAGACAAGAUGAAAAUUCUCGAGAAGCUGGAAGAAGGCGUGAGUAACACCGACGUGGGGCGCCUGUUUGGCGUCAACGAGUCAACCGUGCGCACCAUUAAGAAAAACGAGAAGGCCAUCAGGGCCAGCAUGGAGAGUGUUUCGCCCGUCUGCUCCAAGGUGCUGUGCAUUCCCCGGGACGUCAACAUCGAGAAGAUGGAAACCGAGUUAACCUUUUGGGUGGAGGACCAGACCAUAGGGGGGCGGCCUCUGACGCUGAAGGCCAUCUGCAGCCAGGCCAAACGCAUUUACAAGCAGCUGGUGGAAACCACUGGCAACGGCAACCCGGAUAAGUUUCAUGCGAGCAAGGGAUGGUUUGAGAAGUUUAGAAAUCGCUACAGUCUGCGAAAUUCGAGGUUGAUGGGAGAGGAAGAACCGUUAAAUGCCCAGUCAGCGCCCAAGUAUUCCAAACAACUCCAGAGACUGAUCAGGGCCAGGGGCUAUGUGCCUCAACAGGUCUUCAACGCCGAGGAGAUGAGCCUGUUUUGGAAGUGCAUGCCCUCACGUACUUUUAGGGAAAAAGACAAAAAUCCCGAAAGCUUAGAGGAAGCCAAGGACAGGAUUUCCCUCAUUUUUUGUGCCAACGCUGCCGGUGACAAAAUGAUAAAACCCUUGCUGCUUUAUAAAGACCCUAAUCCCACUUGUCUUUUGGAAAAAGAUAAAAACCGCCUUCCUGUGUUCUGGCGAUCACACCCCAAAGUAUCACUAACCACUGCCCUCUUCUUGGAUUGGUUUCAUAAUUGUUUUAUCCAUCAGGCCCGGACUUACUUAAUAGAAAAAAAUCUUGAGUUCAGAGUGUUGCUAAUUCUGGACAGAGGUCCCAAUCACCCCGACUCAUUAUUCUUUGCUCAUCCUAAUGUUGAUAUUGUGUUCCUCCCUCUGGAAGGCACUAGCUAUCUUCAGCCCUUGGAUCAGGGUAUAAUUGAAGCAUUCAGGAGGUAUUACACCAAGCAUAUGUUUGACCACUUUGCUGACUGUAUUGAAAAGAACCCUUGUCUUACUUUAAAAGAAACAUGGCAACAGUACAGCAUUGCCGAUGCGUUGGUAGUGAUAAAAGAGGCAAUGGAUGAUAUAAAACCGGCUGCUCUUAAUAAAGCCUGGUGGAAACUUUGGGAUGAUGUUGUGAAUGAUUAUGCAUGUUUCCCUAGAGCUAACGAAGAAGUUGCGAAAAUCAUAGAGUCUGCAAAACGGAUGGACUUUAAAUUCUUUGACAUUGAAGAGGGUGAAAUUAACGAACUGCUCAAGUUUCAAGCUUUGGCCAUAACUGAGAGAGAGUCUGUAUCAGUAAAUACGGAAGAAGACAAGUCCCCAGAACCAGAGGUUAAGAUGAAUCUAAGGAAACUGAAUGCUGUCUUACGUCAGGCUUCAGACCUCAUUGAUGCUGCAAUUGAUAUGGAUCCAUUCCUUGACCGAAGUUUGGCCUUUAAAAAAGACUUCAAUAAAUUGUUAUAUACCUAUAAAGAGGUGCAAAAGAACCUUCAGAAUAAAGCAAAGGAGUUGAAGGAAGAAAAAGACACGAACAAAGAGGUAGUGUGGAUGAAGACGAUGGAUACAGAAUCGGAGUCUGAAGGGGAGUCUGAAUCUGAAUCCGAGUCUAAAUCCGAAUCCGAGUCGAAAUCCGAAUCUGAAUCCCAUAAAGAGGAGAAGGUAGAGAGAAAGAAAGAGGAUAAGAAGCCUCCAGAAGAAGAUCCUGGAUCCUCAGGCAAUGGCACUGAGACUCUCACUAUAUCUGAAGAAUCUGCCAAAGCCAUAAAUGCAGAAUUGGACUUUUGGAAUCUAACCUUGGAACUGAAUCUGGAGAGAGUAGACGUACCUGAACUAAAGGAAGAAGAGAAUCCAGAGGCAUUUCUUUCCAAAUGACAGUUCAUCUCUUGCAUUCUUCCCCUGUUGCCCCAACAUCUACCUUCAUCAUGACCAUCCUUAUCAUCACCAGCCACAUAUCCAUAUCAUUUAGUCAUUCAACAAACAGUUAUUGAGUAUAAGCUCUGUGGGGUCCUGUGCUAAACUUGGGGACAUCAUCUCAGGAAAUCAUCUCAGGAUCUAAGAUCCUGACAGCUGCUUUCCUGUCAUACCCCAUGCUCAGGACCCUUAGCCUGCAGCUCCGUUCAGCUGUCACUGGCAGCUAUGUCUCCGGCACUUACUCCAUUGUCUUUGUCAACUGUCCCAAUGAGCAAAUUGCUAGAGAUAUCGCCAGGUACUUUUGGAAUGGAGAAAUCGAAGAAGCUACUGAGAUCCUGUUGCUAAUAAAGACAAAGACUUCCAAGGUCCAUGUGCUGUCCAGUUAUAUCAGAUUACCAAAGGAAUUGGAACUGCACUGAGGUCCAGCAAGGGGGUGGCGUGUUGCGUUAAGGAUGGUAAGAUCAAGAAUGCUCACCCCAUGUCUGGUACUUCUCUGCCUGCUCCUGGGUCUCAGGUGGAAGAGGGCGGAGAAGGCAGGGCCCGUUGGGGUGAGAAGAAAGACUUGAGCUAGGCCUCCUCCAUGAAUCUGUCAACAAGGUAACCUCGCUCUGGGGAGAUGCAGGGGCAGUUUGGAUGGGAGUCCACAGACCUCUGUGGAAUCCUGGGUCUUCCCAGAGGGAAGGGUAUUUAUUGCCAGGCUGUAGUUCUGACUCGUGCUGUGCUUCUUAAACCUAAGUUCCUCCAAAUACAAAAUGGAGGCCCUCCCAGGGCCCUUCUGUGAAGCCCUUAUUGGGACUUAAGGCUGAUGCUAUUCCAAAGGUCCAGAGGAUCCUUUUUUGAUAGCCAGUGGGGAUUUUGGAGCUGCCUCAGGAGAAGGACAGAGAAUGAUAGUGGUGAUGUCCAUUUUUACAACAGAUGUUUCUGAUACAUGGGAAAAUCUUAAACCCUAGUGAAAAUGCUUUGGGGGCCACAGAGGGGUUGCCUCUGUUGCUUUAGGGUUAGAGCCCAGAUUCUUGGUCUGGCCUUCGAGGCCCUUCAUAGCCUUGCCUCACCCCACUUUUUCCAUCUUCACCUUCCACUUCUCCUUGCCCACGCUGGCAAGGAGAUGGCUCCAAUAUGCUGUGUGAAGUUAUUCCUGUGUUCAGGCCUCCCCUCUACCUGUAGUGCCCUCCUGCAUGAAUGCCUGGGAAAUCUGGCUGCUCCUUGUGAGGCCGGCUCCCCCGCCUGGAAGGAAGCUCUCCGGCCUCCAUGUCCCCAUUAAACUUGUGUAUCAUAGUCAGCCUCCUGUUUCUAGAUCAUGAGCUGCUCGAGGUCAAGGGCAUGUCUCAAUCUGUUUGAUCUCUUGCACAGGAUUUGGCUAGUAUUUCCCAAAUUGAUGUUUCAAGGAUUUGAAUAAAGCUUUCUCUGUAGCCCACAGUUACUAAUUUAUGGAAUUGGCAAAACCCAGCAUUCUUUCUUUCAACUUCCUUAAAGUGGGACUAAUUCCAAAGGAGAUUUUUCUAUUUCUGGCCUUCACCGGGCCAUUUUCUGUGCUAUGCAUAGCACAGAAAACUGCUUCUCGGUGAACUUCCUCUGCCUCAGUGUCACAGCUGGCUACAGGAAAUGGGAGAGGAGAGGACAAAUGUCAGCUCUCUGCCUGGUGCUCUCCUAGGUUCUCCGCAUUAUUUUAUCCUUCUAAUUCAGUGUUCUCAGUUGGUAGCGGACUUCUGAGAUCAGAGAGCAUGGCACUUAAAAUACUUGGCUGAGCUAGGCUGUGAACCCACAUGUCCAAUUCUUGAUCUGACGCUCUUACUGUCUCCUUCAGAAAGGUUGGACAUAUCCCUUUAUAGGCCAAACAACUAGAGAGCCUAUUGUAGCCAACUCUAAACGAAGGGUUAUUGGAUCCAAAAACAUCCGUGCAGUAAGUUGGUCUGGCACUUAAAAAUAUAUGGUAUUGUUUCCUUCUCCCCACAGAUCUGGAGCCUGGUGACAGGAUCUAAUUCUGUAGAUGAGGGAACAGAUCUAGGGGAGUUCAGUGAUUUUUCCCAUCUGCGUGACUCCCAGGUUACUUACCCUAGACCACACUGUCCCCGCAGAGUGCUGCUGUGGGGCUGGGCUCGGCCCUAGACUAGCAGCUUCAUACAGGAACGCCUUCCCAGCAUUUCUCAGGAAAGGUCUGUUUUGAAUCCAGACUCUCCAGAAAAAUCACUUGAGAAAAUGAGAAAAAAAUAUUAAAAUUAUCUGUGAAUACUAAAGCGUAAAAGCAUAGAGAUGUUAACUGGUUUGAAGAAAUCAUCAGAUUAAAAAAGAAGAGCAGGAAACACCAGCAUGCAGAGUUGAGCGUGAAAGGAACCAGGUUGGGAGCGCGCAGGGGAGAAAUGAUUACCACGGAGUCAGUCUUGGAUUGUUGCUGUGUCCCAGGUGUGUCUGUCUAGCUGUGUCUGCUGCAAACUGUGAGUUAUUUUUGCAGAUAAGUUUAUGCACAUAGUAUACUUUAAACAAAUUCUGUGAGCUUUGUUUGAAGACACUAGCUUUGGAAGCAAAAUAAAUUUUAAUUGAGCAAUUUUGA